rnacentral:rRNA from 1 species
UACGUAGGGUGCAAGCGUUGUCCGGAAUUAUUGGGCGUAAAGAGCUCGUAGGCGGUCUGUCGCGUCGGAUGUGAAAAUCCAGGGCUCAACCCUGGACCUGCAUUCGAUACGGGCAGACUAGAGUUCGGCAGGGGAGACUGGAAUUCCUGGUGUAGCGGUGAAAUGCGCAGAUAUCUGGAGGAACACCGGUGGCGAAGGCGGCAUCCUGGACCGGCAUUGACGCUGAGGCGCGAAAGCCAGGGGAGCAAACGGG